CAAAAGCAAAAAUGGAGGGAGGAAUGGCGGGAAUGAACAAGGAAAUUACAAUCAUAACCUCGGCCCUUUUUGAUACCUCUGUUGACGACUCGAGAGACAAAAGUAUGUAACAGAUCGAAGGUAGAAAGAAGGAAAGAAAAAGAAAAAGAUGGAGAAAGUGGUAGCGGAAGGCUAUGCCGAAGGCUAUCGUGAUCCGUGUGCUGAAGGACAAAUUUCCCAGUGCCACAGGGGCGACGGCGACCUAAUCGUUCACAAAGAAGCGCUCCUCGCAUUCUCCACCUAAGGACAAAGAAUGCUGGAAAGGGUGCAGUAAAGAAUGAAGUAAGGAAUGCUACAAAGAAUGCAGGAAAGAGUGGGAAGAAUGCAGGAAAGAGUAGAAAGAAUGCAGUAAAGAAAGCGGGAACAUAAAAAACGAAAGAAGUGAAGAGGAAGAAGAAGACGAAGAGGAAGAAAUUGGAAGAGUCAUCGUCACGAAAGCAAGGCGAAAAGGAUGAAGAAAACCACGAUGAGGAUGGAAGUGGUGAUGGAUGAGUAAGCAAGCAAGGAAUAGACAUUUUCUGCUAGUUUCGGUGUUUCCUUUUUCUUUCUUAGCAUGUAGUUUGCUUCUGCAUCUAACAGCCCAUUAUAUUUUUGAACAGUCAGCAGUUUGGUUAAA